rnacentral:tRNA from 1 species
GCCGCCUUAGCUCAGUCGGUAGAGCACCUCACUCGUAAUGAGGUUGUCCGCGGUUCGAUUCCGCGAGGCGGCUCCA